CGAGCAUGAUGAUGAUACCUUUAAAUCUGUCCGAUUAUUUUAUGAAUGGAUAAAUAACCUCCUACUCAUUCUGA